AUUGAACGCUGGCGGCAUGCUUUACACAUGCAAGUCGAACGGUAACAGGCCGCAAGGUGCUGACGAGUGGCGAACGGGUGAGUAAUGCAUCGGAACGUGCCCAGUCGUGGGGGAUAACGCAGCGAAAGCUGUGCUAAUACCGCAUACGAUCUGUGGAUGAAAGCGGGGGACCGAAAGGCCUCGCGCGAUUGGAGCGGCCGAUGUCAGAUUAGGUAGUUGGUGGGGUAAAGGCUCACCAAGCCAACGAUCUGUAGCUGGUCUGAGAGGACGCCCAGCCACCCUGGGACUGAGACACGGCCCAGACUCCUACGGGAGGCAGAAGUGGGGAAUUUUGGACAAUGGGCGCAAGCCUGAUCCAGCAAUGCCGCGUGCAGGAAGAAGGCCUUCGGGUUGUAAACUGCUUUUGUACGGAGCGAAAAGGCUCUCUCUAAUACAGGGGGCUCAUGGCGGUACCGUAAGAAUAAGCACCGGCUAACUACGUGCCAGCAGCCGCCGUAACAC
rnacentral:rRNA from 1 species